rnacentral:rRNA from 1 species
UAGGGANNCUUNNNNAAUGGGGGGAACCCUGACCGAGCAACGCCGCGUGAGUGAAGAAGGUUUUCGGAUCGUAAAGCUCUGUUGUUAAGGAAGAACGUGUGUGAGAGUGGAAAGUUCACACAGUGACGGUACUUAACCAGAAAGGGACGGCUAACUACGUGCCAGCAGCCGCGGUAAUACGUAGGUCCCGAGCGUUGUCCGGAUUUAUUGGGCGUAAAGCGAGCGCAGGCGGUUAGAUAAGUCUGAAGUGAAAGGCAGUGGCUCAACCAUUGUAGGCUUUGGAAACUGUUUAACUUGAGUGCAGAAGGGGAGAGUGGAAUUCCAUGUGUAGCGGUGAAAUGCGUAGAUAUAUGGAGGAACACCGGUGGCGAAAGCGGCUCUCUGGUCUGUAACUGACGCUGAGGCUCGAAAGCGUGGGGAGCGAACAGGAUUAGAUACCCUGGUAGUCCACGCCGUAAACGAUGAGUGCUAGGUGUUAGGUCCUUUCCGGGACUUAGUGCCGCAGCUAACGCAUUAAGCACUCCGCCUGGGGAGUACGACCGCAAGGUUG